rnacentral:rRNA from 1 species
AGAGUUUGAUCCUGGCUCAGGACGAACGCUGGCGGCGUGCCUAAUACAUGCAAGUCGAGCGAACUGAUUAAGAAGCUUGCUUCUUAUGACGUUAGCGGCGGACGGGUGAGUAACACGUGGGCAACCUGCCCUAUAGUUGGGGAUAACUCCGGGAAACCGGGGCUAAUACCGAAUGAUACAUUUUAACUCCUGUUAGAAUGUUGAAAGAUGGUUUACGCUAUCGCUAUAGGAUGGGCCCGCGGCGCAUUAGCUAGUUGGUGAGGUAACGGCUCACCAAGGCGACGAUGCGUAGCCGACCUGAGAGGGUGAUCGGCCACACUGGGACUGAGACACGGCCCAGACUCCUACGGGAGGCAGCAGUAGGGAAUCUUCCACAAUGGGCGAAAGCCUGAUGGAGCAACGCCGCGUGAGUGAAGAAGGUUUUCGGAUCGUAAAACUCUGUUGUAAGGGAAGAACAAGUACAGUAGUAACUGGCUGUGCCUUGACGGUACCUUAUUAGAAAGCCACGGCUAACUACGUGCCAGCAGCCGCGGUAAUACGUAGGUGGCAAGCGUUGUCCGGAUUUAUUGGGCGUAAAGCGCGCGCAGGUGGUUUCUUAAGUCUGAUGUGAAAGCCCACGGCUCAACCGUGGAGGGUCAUUGGAAACUGGGAGACUUGAGUGCAGAAGAGGAAAGUGGAAUUCCAAGUGUAGCGGUGAAAUGCGUAGAGAUUUGGAGGAACACCAGUGGCGAAGGCGACUUUCUGGUCUGUAACUGACACUGAGGCGCGAAAGCGUGGGGAGCAAACAGGAUUAGAUACCCUGGUAGUCACGCCGUAAACGAUGAGUGCUAAGUGUUAGGGGGUUUCCGCCCCUUAGUGCUGCAGCUAACGCAUUAAGCACUCCGCCUGGGGAGUACGGUCGCAAGACUGAAACUCAAAGGAAUUGACGGGGGCCCGCACAAGCGGUGGGGCAUGUGGUUUAAUUCGAAGCAACGCGAAGAACCUUACCAGGUCUUGACAUCCCAUUGACCGCUAUGGAGACAUGGCUUUCCCUUCGGGGACAGUGGUGACAGGUGGUGCAUGGUUGUCGUCAGCUCGUGUCGUGAGAUGUUGGGUUAAGUCCCGCAACGAGCGCAACCCUUGUUCUUAGUUGCCAUCAUUUAGUUGGGCACUCUAAGGAGACUGCCGGUGAUAAACCGGAGGAAGGUGGGGAUGACGUCAAAUCAUCAUGCCCCUUAUGACCUGGGCUACACACGUGCUACAAUGGACGGUACAAACGGUUGCCAACCCGCGAGGGGGAGCUAAUCCGAUAAAACCGUUCUCAGUUCGGAUUGUAGGCUGCAACUCGCCUACAUGAAGCCGGAAUCGUUAGUAAUCGCGGAUCAGCAUGCCGCGGCGAAUACGUUCCCGGGCCUUGCACACACCGCCCGUCA